CUACAUUUUGAGUAUCCUGUAUUCCAGCUGAAUAUAUGAUUCAGUUCAAAUCCAGUAACUAAAACCCAGGUGAAGAUGUAGUAUUGAAUUAUAAUUUGUAUCUAGUACAUUAGGACACAAAGGAGAAUUUGAAAUAAUUUUAUUAGCUAAAAACAUCACAGCGAGCCAAGAUGAAUAGCUACAGGAUGAAGAGGACAAAUGAGGACAUUAAGCUGGGUGGCAGUAGAUCCGGCAUCAAUCCUGGGAAUACCGAGAUGUGGAAAUAAACUGUGACUAGGAUGCCAGGUCAUCGCAGAGCACAAUGCACACACACCUUUAUACACUCCUUCACACCCGGAAGCAAAUUACUGUAGUUAUGGAUGAAACAGCGAUUUCUGCUAAUGGAUGUUGGGGUAAAAGGGUGAGUUAAGGACACAUGCUCAGAAGUCAGACUGCUUCAGCGAUGGCCUGGAACCGUCUCGGCUCAACGAGGACGUGAUUGACAGGUCGAGUGACCUGUAUCUUUACGCCCGACUCCGUGAAAGGACGACCGGUGACAUUAAGAGCGAUGACAAAAAAAUAUAUCUGUGGAUCAACUGCAUAAGUGAUGCAGACAGGUUUGAGGAUCACACAUGCCUGGAGCUCUACAUCCAGCUGUAUGUGGGUGAGAUAUAAACACACACACAUUCGUAAUGGAUCUCAUCAAACACCUUUACUGCAGCUCCGAAAGUAAAUGCACUCCCACACCAGAGGUAUAAAUAGACAGGUGAACAUGCUUUUAACAUUAGAAGCAGAACAGUGUUAUUACACUCAGGUAGAAACUAAGGAAGGUUAUAUAUUUUUUCUGGAGCUCAGAAAUGAGACACAUGUGAAAGUGUGGAAUUGUGAAAAGUUACUGGAGUUGAUAAAUUGUUCUUAACCAUUAUGUGAUAAGUAUGCCUAAUAAUCUUUCUUUCUUUCUUUCUUUCUUUCUUUCUUUCUUUCUUUCUUUCUUUCUUUCUUUCUUUCUUUCUUUCUUUCUUUCUUUCUUUCUUUCUAUGUCAAACUACCCCUUCUGUUCCUGACCUGCCUGAUUCUGAUAUAUCCUGAUACCCCACUUCUUGUUAGAGAUCUAAUCACAGCUGAGAAUGAACCUACAUGCACAGCUCGGAGAUACACAUGCGACUGCUUUUACCCCUUGUGCCACUUAUAAACCAGAAAUAAAACCAAAAAAAAAAUCCCUUUAUGGCUGAAGAAGAACACAUUGUAUCUCAGAAGUGGUGGCACAAGUGGUUAAGGCUCUGGGUUGUUUAUUGGAGGAUCAGGCUUCAAGCCCCAGCACUGCCAAGCUGCUACUGUUGGGCCCUUGCACAAGGCCCUUAACCCUCUCUGCUCCAGGGUGCUGUAUCAUGACUGACCCUGUGCUCCGACCCCAAAGUCUGAUAUGUAAAGUUAUAACCACAGACCCUCACACACAUUCGCCAGUCAACCUACAACACAUAUCUUUGGACUUGGACAGAAAACUGCAGUGCCCUUCAAAAAACCAAACAAAACCAGGGCAGAGGCAGGAAUCUUACCCCAACCCUGGAUGUUUGAGUUAAAGCACUGAGCCAUAAUGCAACUACAAAACGUGUGUCUUUAGAAACUGUAUAUAGUUUAUUGUAAAAGGAAUAAAACAGUUUGUCAUGCAGUA